CUUAAAUAUAUUAAAAGAGAAAAAAAAUGGGAAAAAUUACGUACCUCUGGACCCAUCUGCAUGAACUUCUCUAUUGAUCAAUCGCCGUUUACGACCAAUCGUAGGGGGGGCAUUCGCUAUGUUGAAAAUGCUUGGCCUUGCUUUUGAAGUCAAACGAUUUUUUGUUGUGGAGUUAACAAACAUGCAAUCUUCAAAAUGCUCAGAGCAUAAUCUGCAAUUGGCGUACAAAUACUUCGACGUUUUGUUCAAGAGAUCUUGACGUCGACAUGCAACAACCCAUUCUUUAGAUCUACGUAUCAAAAAAAUGUAAACGUUUUUGCUGUUCAUAAACUGAAACUAAGUCGGAUUCUUAAAAGCUAAUAAAGAAUUGCGAAUAUCCUUUGUCUUAAGCAGAGAAAGUCACACG
rnacentral:lncRNA from 1 species